AAAAAAAGCACUAGAAUGCACAAUGUGUAUGAUUUCUGGUAUAACUUGCCCCUUUAUCUCUCGAUGACUUGUAGUAUAACUUUCCCCUUUAUCUAAUACAUCACCCUUACACUCUCCAUUUACACUUGCUUGAAAGCAGAUGUACUAUGUUGUGGAUGACAAACUGAAGGAUUGGCUAAUGGGAAGCGCUGUGAUGUAUCACAUGGCCAUACAAGCAUGUGAGCUUUUGUUCUUCUGAUUGAACUUAACAAUUACUAUCAUGGUUGAUUGCUUAAGAAGCUUUUGUUCUAUGUAUGCAGUUGGAAGUGGACAAGUCCAUGACGAAAGCAGGAAUGCGACCACAAGCAAGCUGAGGUAAUAUGCAUGUUUCUUUAAGAUCGAAUCUUAUUCUAGCAUGCUAGCUGGGUCGUUGAGGUAGAGUGGUAGGCGACGUAAUCAUAUUUUGUUUUUAUGUUUGUAUGUUUCCAAGAAAUUUCAUGCACUCGACUAUGUACAGUACUGAAUUUUACAAAAUAAAAAUAUUUCAUAGAGUAACUACUGUGCUGAAAUCUUUUACGUCAUUCCUGGAGACUCAGUACAAAUGUUUAUCUUAGUAAAAAAGGAAAGAUUCAAACUGAGCAUGUUUUGCCUAUUUGAACAUGAAAGAUUUUUGACUGUGAGUUAGAACUCGGUGUUAAACUCUACUAUACAGUACAAAAUUUCAGACUUGUUUUGGCGUAUAAAACUGAUCCUCAUACCAGUUUUGGCUUGCUAGUCUGCUAGAGGGUAUUCUCUUCAAUGAACUCUAUUAAAAACAAGCUAAGAUGCAUGAGAUAGACAGAGAAAUAUGUAAUCAAUGGUUAUUUCAUGAGUUUCUUUUUUCCUAUGAUAUAGAGAAACCAAUAACCAAUGGCCUGCCCCUGCCUAUUUGUACAGAGGUUUGCCUAUUUGUACUAUUGUACUAUGUAUAGUACAGAGUUUUGCCUACUUGUAUACUAUUGUGCUGUUUAUAGUAUAGACUUUUACCUAUUUGUACACAGUUUUAACUAUUUGUUCAAUAUAGUACCGUAUAGAGUUUUGCCUAUUUGUUGAGUUUAACUCGGUGCAAAAAAAGAUUCGAACUCAGAGUACUAUAUUAACUCCAGUGGUACAUGUUUAACUCAGGUUUAGUCAUAGCUUUCACUAGAAAGUUGUAUUUUUUUAGACUAAGCAGCUUUUGCAAGUUGAUUGUACAACUUUUUGUUUUGCUUAUUUGCACAUGAAGAUUUGUCUAUGUGUACUUCAAACAAAUCUUUCUUGAUCUAUUGAUGUAACCUUGCUUGCUGUGAUGAUGAGAUGCUGCACACUUAGAAGAGUUUUAUUUAUGCCGACGAGUUAAAAACUGAAGCAUGUCAAAAUCUUUAAUGUGCUAAUUUAAAAUUUGAAACGAGAGCUCCAUUUUGAGUUUUCUAUUUGUUGCAGAUUUCCCUACAGAGUUGAUGGAGCUUUGGAAGAUCUUCAAUCUGCUGAAGAGUUCGGAGAUUUGGAAGAUCUUCAAGCUAGUGAAGAUUUGGUAGACCUAUAAUUAAGUUCGUAGAGUGAUUAUGACACUUGCUCUGCUCAUUUUGCUGGUUGUUAAGCCAGUAUAUGCUCAUUUUGCUUGUGUGACACACCCUAGAAACAUAUGUACUCCUUUUGUGGCACACAUUUAGAAACAUGAUGUAUUGUACCUUUUGUGGCACGACCAACUUAUACAUAUGG
rnacentral:lncRNA from 1 species